rnacentral:rRNA from 1 species
AUUGAACGCUGGCGGCAGGCUUAACACAUGCAAGUCGAGCGAGCGGCGGACGGGUGAGUAAUGUCUGGGAAACUGCCUGAUGGAGGGGGAUAACUACUGGAAACGGUAGCUAAUACCGCAUACCAUCCGAUGUGCCCAGAUGGGAUUAGUGAGUUGGUGAGGUAAAGGCUCACCAAGCCGACGAUCUCUAGCUGGUCUGAGAGGAUGACCAGCCAAACUGGGACUGAGACACGGCCCAUACUCCAACGGGAGGCAGCAGUGGGGAAUAGUGCGCAAGGGGGGCAACCCUGACGCAGACAUGCCGAGUGAAUGAAGAAGGCCUUCGGGUUGUAAAGUUCUUUCGGUAGCGAGGCGUUAACUACAGAAGAAGCACCGGCUAACUCCGUGCCAGCAGCCGCGGUAAUUC